UACGUAGGGGGCAAGCGUUGUCCGGAAUCAUUGGGCGUAAAGAGCGUGUAGGCGGCCAGAUAAGUCCGCUGUGAAAUCUCGAGGCUCAACUUCGAGCUGUCGGUGGAAACUGUCUGGCUAGAGUCCGGAAGAGGAGAAUGGAAUUCCUGGUGUAGCGGUGAAAUGCGCAGAUAUCAGGAAGAACACCCGUGGCGAAAGCAGCUCUCUGGGACGGUACUGACGCUGAGACGCGAAAGCGUGGGGAGCGAACAGG
rnacentral:rRNA from 1 species